rnacentral:rRNA from 1 species
UACGGAAGGCAGCAGGGGGAAUAUUGCACAAUGGGCGCAAGCCUGAUGCAGCCAUGCCGCGUGUAUGAAGAAGGCCUUCGGGUUGUAAAGUACUUUCAGUCGUGAGGAAGGUGUUAAGGUUAAUAACCUUAGCAAUUGACGUUAGCGACAGAAGAAGCACCGGCUAACUCCGUGCCAGCAGCCGCGGUAAUACGGAGGGUGCGAGCGUUAAUCGGAAUUACUGGGCGUAAAGGGCACGCAGGCGGCUAAUUAAGUUGGAUGUGAAAUCCCCGGGCUUAACCUGGGAAUGGCAUUCAAGACUGGUUAGCUAGAGUCUUGUAGAGGGGGUAGAAUUCCACGUGUAGCGGUGAAAUGCGUAGAGAUGUGGAGGAAUACCGGUGGCGAAGGCGGCCCCUGGACAAAGACUGACGCUCAUGUGCGAAAGCGUGGGGAGCAAACAGGGAUUAGAUACC